rnacentral:rRNA from 1 species
AGAGUUUGAUCCUGGCUCAGAUUGAACGCUGGCGGUAUGCUUAACACAUGCAAGUCGAACGGCAGCAUGUUAUGUAGCAAUACAUGAUGAUGGCAAGUGGCGGACGGGUGAGUAACGCGUAGGAAUCUGCCUUAAAGAGGGGGACAACCCGAGGAAACUCGGGCUAAUACCGCAUAAUCUCGAGAGAGAAAAGCUGGGUAGCAAUACCUGGCGCUUUAAGAGGAGCCUGCGUCUGAUUAGCUAGUUGGUAGGGUAAAGGCCUACCAAGGCGAUGAUCGGUAGCUGGUCUGAGAGGAUGACCAGCCACACUGGGACUGAGACACGGCCCAGACUCCUACGGGAGGCAGCAGUGGGGAAUAUUGGACAAUGGGGGGAACCCUGAUCCAGCAAUACCGCGUGUGUGAAGAAGGCCUUAGGGUUGUAAA